GGUCAAGCGAAUAAGCGCACACGGUGGAUGCCUUGGCGGUCAGAGGCGAUGAAGGACGUGGCAGCCUGCGAAAAGUAUCGGGGAGCUGGCAACAAGCUUUGAUCCGGUAAUGUCCGAAUGGGGAAACCCACCCGCUUGCGGGUAUCCUGCAGUGAAUACAUAGCUGCUGGAAGCGAACCUGGUGAACUGAAAUAUCUAAGUAACCAGAGGAAAAGAAAUCAACCGAGAUUCCGUAAGUAGCGACGAGCGAACGCGGACUAGCCCUUAAGCUGAUUUGGUUCUAGGAAAACGCUCUGGAAAGAGCGGCCAUAGAAGGUGAUAGCCCUGUAUCUGAAAGGGCCAUUUCAGUGAAGACGAGUAGGGCGGGGCACGUGAAACCCUGUCUGAACAUGGGGGGACCAUCCUCCAAGGCUAAAUACUACUGACCGACCGAUAGUGAACCAGUACCGUGAGGGAAAGGCGAAAAGAACCCCGGAGAGGGGAGUGAAAUAGAUCCUGAAACCGUGUGCGUACAAGCAGUAGGAGCUCCGCAAGGAGUGACUGCGUACCUUUUGUAUAAUGGGUCAGCGACUUACUGUUCGUGGCAAGCUUAACCGUAUAGGGGAGGCGAAGGGAAACCGAGUCUGAUAAGGGCGCAUAGUCGCGGGCAGUAGACCCGAAACCGGGUGAUCUAGUCAUGGCCAGGGUGAAGGUGCCGUAACAGGUACUGGAGGCCCGAACCCACGUCUGUUGCAAAAGACGGGGAUGAGCUGUGAUUAGGAGUGAAAAGCUAAUCGAACCCGGAGAUAGCUGGUUCUCCUCGAAAGCUAUUUAGGUAGCGCCUCAUAUGUAUCCUCUCGGGGGUAGAGCACUGUUAUGGCUAGGGGGUCAUCGCGACUUACCAAACCAUUGCAAACUCCGAAUACCGAGACGGACUGUAUGGGAGACACACGGCGGGUGCUAACGUCCGUCGUGAAAAGGGAAACAACCCAGACCCACAGCUAAGGUCCCAAAUUUUGUGCUAAGUGGAAAACCAUGUGGAAAGGCACAGACAGCCAGGAGGUUGGCUUAGAAGCAGCCACCCUUUAAAGAAAGCGUAAUAGCUCACUGGUCGAGUCGGUCUGCGGGGAAGAUUUAACGGGGCUAAGCACAAAACCGAAGCUUGGGGUGCAUAACUUUGUUAUGCGCGGUAGAGGAGCGUUCCGUAAGCCGUUGAAGGUGGAUUGAGAAGUCUGCUGGAGGUAUCGGAAGUGCGAAUGCUGACAUGAGUAACGAUAAUGCGGGUGAAAAACCCGCACGCCGAAAGCCCAAGGUUUCCUUGCGCAACGUUAAUCGGCGCAGGGUGAGUCGGCCCCUAAGGCGAGGACGAAAGUCGUAGUCGAUGGAAAGCAGGUUAAUAUUCCUGCACCUCGCGUAAGUGCGAUGGAGGGACGGAGAAGGUUAGGUGUACCAGGCGUUGGUUGUCCUGGGGAAAGGCGGUAGGUUUGGAUCUUUGGCAAAUCCGGGAUCCUUUAAGACCGAGCACCGAGACGAGCCUUUAUGGCGAAGUCACUGAUACCACGCUUCCAGGAAAAGCUCCUAAGCUUCAGCUUACGCAGACCGUACCGUAAACCGACACAGGUGGGUAGGAUGAGAAUUCUCAGGCGCUUGAGAGAACUCGGGUGAAGGAACUAGGCAACAUGGCACCGUAACUUCGGGAGAAGGUGCACCCUUUUUGGUGGCUCGUGCGAGCUAUAGCUGAAGAGGGUCGCAGUAACCAGGCCGCUGCGACUGUUUAUCAAAAACACAGCACUCUGCAAACACGAAAGUGGACGUAUAGGGUGUGACGCCUGCCCGGUGCUGGAAGGUUAAUUGAUGGGGUCAGCCGCAAGGCGAAGCUCUUGAUCGAAGCCCCAGUAAACGGCGGCCGUAACUAUAACGGUCCUAAGGUAGCGAAAUUCCUUGUCGGGUAAGUUCCGACCUGCACGAAUGGCGUAACGACAGCGGCGCUGUCUCCACCCGAGACUCAGUGAAAUUGAAAUCGCUGUGAAGAUGCAGCGUUCCCGUGGCAAGACGGAAAGACCCCGUGAACCUUUACUAUAGCUUUACACUGAACGUUGAGUUCGUCUGUGUAGGAUAGGUGGGAGGCUAUGAAACUGUGGCGCUAGCUGCAGUGGAGCCAUCCUUGAAAUACCACCCUGUCGUGCUUGACGUUCUAACCUGGGCCCAUUAUCUGGGUCGGGGACCGUGUAUGGUGGGUAGUUUGACUGGGGCGGUCUCCUCCUAAAGAGUAACGGAGGAGCUCGAAGGUACGCUCAGCGCGGUCGGACAUCGCGCACUGUGUGCAAAGGCAUAAGCGUGCUUGACUGCAAGAUCGACGGAUCAAGCAGGUAGGAAACUAGGACUUAGUGAUCCGGUGGUUCUGUAUGGAAGGGCCAUCGCUCAACGGAUAAAAGGUACUCCGGGGAUAACAGGCUGAUACCGCCCAAGAGUUCAUAUCGACGGCGGUGUUUGGCACCUCGAUGUCGGCUCAUCACAUCCUGG
rnacentral:rRNA from 1 species